GAUGAACGCUGGCGGCGUGCUUAACACAUGCAAGUCGAACGAAGCUGCUAAAAGGAAGUCUUCGGAUGGAAUUUUGGUAGACUUAGUGGCGGACGGGUGAGUAACGCGUGGAUAACCUGCCUUAUACAGGGGGAUAACGGAGAGAAAUUUCCGCUAAGACCGCAUAAGACCACAGCACCGCAUGGUGCAGGGGUAAAAUAUUUAUAGGUAUAAGAUGGAUCCGCGUCCGAUUAGCUGGUUGGUGAGGUAGAGGCUCACCAAGGCGACGAUCGGUAGCCGGCCUGAGAGGGUGAACGGCCACAUUGGGACUGAGACACGGCCCAAACUCCUACGGGAGGCAGCAGUGGGGAAUAUUGGACAAUGGGGGAAACCCUGAUCCAGCGACGCCGCGUGAGUGAAGAAGUAUUUCGGUAUGUAAAGCUCUAUCAGCAGGGAAGAAAAUGACGGUACCUGACUAAGAAGCCCCGGCUAACUACGUGCCAGCAGCCGCGGUAAUACGUAGGGGGCAAGCGUUAUCCGGAUUUACUGGGUGUAAAGGGAGCGCAGACGGCGAAGCAAGUCUGAAGUGAAAUGCAUGGGCUCAACCCAUGAAUUGCUUUGGAAACUGUUUGGCUUGAGUGUCGGAGGGGUAAGCGGAAUUCCUAGUGUAGCGGUGAAAUGCGUAGAUAUUAGGAGGAACACCGGAGGCGAAGGCGGCUUACUGGACGACAACUGACGUUGAGGCUCGAAGGCGUGGGGAGCAAACAGG
rnacentral:rRNA from 1 species